UUUUAGCUAAAUGACGACUAUCACUCACCACUGCAAACAGGAUUGGAUACACAUAUUUAAAAAGAUACAUGAUUUAAGUAUACAGGGAAUAACAGCAGACGAAAUAACCACUUAUACAUAUGUAAGACUUAAAGGUUGAACGUGAAGCGCAUCAUGGCCACAGAAAAUAUAUUCGUCUCUUUCACAUCAGUCAGUAUGGCAUUCCAAAUGAGAACAUCGUGAAGUUCAAUCAGCCUUCGAACAUAGGCAUUUCUGGCGUCUGGUAAAUUAAAGCAGUUUGUCAGCUGCUCUUGUACAGUGUGCAAG